rnacentral:rRNA from 1 species
AUUGAACGCUGGCGGCAGGCCUAACACAUGCAAGUCGAGCGGAUGAAGGGAGCUUGCUCCUGGAUCCAGCGGCGGACGGGUGAGUAAUGCCUAGGAAUCUGCCUGGUAGUGGGGGAUAACGUCCGGAAACGGGCGCUAAUACUGCAUACGUCCUGAGGGAGAAAGUGGGGGAUCUUCGGACCUCACGCUAUCAGAUGAGCCUAGGUCGGAUUAGCUAGUUGGUGGGGUAAAGGCCUACCAAGGCGACGAUCCGUAACUGGUCUGAGAGGAUGAUCAGUCACACUGGAACUGAGACACGGUCCAGACUCCUACGGGAGGCAGCAGUGGGGAAUAUUGGACAAUGGGCGAAAGCCUGAUCCAGCCAUGCCGCGUGUGUGAAGAAGGUCUUCGGAUUGUAAAGCACUUUAAGUUGGGAGGAAGGGCAGUAAGUUAAUACCUUGCUGUUUUGACGUUACCAACAGAAUAAGCACCGGCUAACUUCGUG